AGAGUUUGAUCCUGGCUCAGGACGAACGCUGGCGGCGCGCCUAACACAUGCAAGUCGAACGAGCGAGAGAGAGCUUGCUUUCUCGAGCGAGUGGCGAACGGGUGAGUAACGCGUGAGGAACCUGCCUCAAAGAGGGGGACAACAGUUGGAAACGACUGCUAAUACCGCAUAAGCCCACGGCUCGGCAUCGAGCAGAGGGAAAAGGAGCAAUCCGCUUUGAGAUGGCCUCGCGUCCGAUUAGCUAGUUGGUGAGGUAACGGCCCACCAAGGCGACGAUCGGUAGCCGGACUGAGAGGUUGAACGGCCACAUUGGGACUGAGACACGGCCCAGACUCCUACGGGAGGCAGCAGUGGGGAAUAUUGCACAAUGGGGGAAACCCUGAUGCAGCGACGCCGCGUGGAGGAAGAAGGUCUUCGGAUUGUAAACUCCUGUUGUUGGGGAAGAUAAUGACGGUACUCAACAAGGAAGUGACGGCUAACUACGUGCCAGCAGCCGCGGUAAAACGUAGGUCACAAGCGUUGUCCGGAAUUACUGGGUGUAAAGGGAGCGCAGGCGGGAAGACAAGUUGGAAGUGAAAUCUAUGGGCUCAACCCAUAAACUGCUUUCAAAACUGUUUUUCUUGAGUAGUGCAGAGGUAGGCGGAAUUCCCGGUGUAGCGGUGGAAUGCGUAGAUAUCGGGAGGAACACCAGUGGCGAAGGCGGCCUACUGGGCACCAACUGACGCUGAGGCUCGAAAGUGUGGGUAGCAAACAGGAUUAGAUACCCUGGUAGUCCACACCGUAAACGAUGAUUACUAGGUGUUGGAGGAUUGACCCCUUCAGUGCCGCAGUUAACACAAUAAGUAAUCCACCUGGGGAGUACGACCGCAAGGUUGAAACUCAAAGGAAUUGACGGGGGCCCGCACAAGCAGUGGAGUAU
rnacentral:rRNA from 1 species